rnacentral:rRNA from 1 species
GAGUUUGAUCCUGGCUCAGGAUGAACGCUAGCGGGAGGCUUAACACAUGCAAGUCGAGCGGCAGCACGGGCUUCGGUCUGGUGGCGAGCGGCGCACGGGUGCGUAACGCGUAUGCAACCUGCCUUAUGCAGGGGGAUAGCCCAUGGAAACGUGGAUUAAUACCCCAUAAUAUUAUUUAUUCGCAUGGAUUAAUAAUAAAAACUCUGGUGGCAUAAGAUGGGCAUGCGUCUGAUUAGCUAGUUGGUGAGGUAACGGCUCACCAAGGCGACGAUCAGUAGGGGUUCUGAGAGGAUUAUCCCCCACACUGGUACUGAGACACGGACCAGACUCCUACGGGAGGCAGCAGUGAGGAAUAUUGGUCAAUGGGCGCGAGCCUGAACCAGCCAUCCCGCGUGCAGGAUGACGGCCCUAUGGGUUGUAAACUGCUUUUCUACGCCAAGAAAUGACCGUUCGUGAACGGUUUUGCCGGUAGCGUAGGAAUAAGCAUCGGCUAACUCCGCGCCAGCAGCCGCGGUAAUACGGAGGAUGCAAGCGUUAUCCGGAUUUAUUGGGUUUAAAGGGUGCGCAGGCGGGCUUGUAAGUCAGCGGUGAAAACCUGUCGCUUAACGACAGGCUUGCCAUUGAUACUGCUUGUCUGAGUUGGGUUGAGGUAUGCGGAAUGUGCAGUGUAGCGGUGACAUGCAUAGAUAGUGCACAGAACACCAAUUGCGAAGGCAGCAUACUAAGCCAAAACUGACGCUGAGGCACGAAAGCGUGGGUAGCGAACAGGAUUAGAUACCCUGGUAGUCCACGCCGUAAACGAUGUUCACUCGCUGUUUGCGAUAUACAGUAAGCGGCUUAGCGAAAGCAUUAAGUGAACCACCUGGGGAGUACGAUCGCAAGGUUGAAACUCAAAGGAAUUGACGGGGGCCCGCACAAGCGGAGGAACAUGUGGUUUAAUUCGAUGAUACGCGAGGAACCUUACCUGGGCUUAAAUGUAGAGUGCAUGCGGUGGAAACACCCUUCCCUUCGGGGCUCUCUGCAAGGUGCUGCAUGGUUGUCGUCAGCUCGUGCCGUGAGGUGUCGGGUUAAGUCCCAUAACGAGCGCAACCCUUACCGUUAGUUGCCAACAGGUCAAGCUGGGGACUCUAGCGGGACUGCCACCGUAAGGUGAGAGGAAGGUGGGGAUGACGUCAAAUCAGCACGGCCCUUAUGUCCAGGGCUACACACGUGUUACAAUGGCCGGUACAGAGGGCAGCUACUCCGCGAGGAGAUGCUAAUCUUAAAAGCCGGUCUCAGUUCGGAUUGGAGUCUGCAACCCGACUCCAUGAAGUUGGAUUCGCUAGUAAUCGCGCAUCAGCCAUGGCGCGGUGAAUACGUUCCCGGGCCUUGUACACACCGCCCGUC